rnacentral:ncRNA from 1 species
GAGGUAGAGGUCGCAACUGUGAAGAGUAUACCGGAGGAGGCGUAUGAAGCCGCCUAUGAAUCCGGAGGAAAGGCACCGUUGCCGAAGCGUUCAAUCAGCUUCAAUCCGAUUGAGCCGCUGGGGCUGUCGUCGAAAGAGACAGAACUGUCACAAUUUCUUUAUGCCAUAUGGGGAAUUGUG